GUGCCCACGCCGCCCCGCCUCCAGCCGCCGCGCCGUCGCUCAGUGGGCUCGCGGCCGCGCGCAACAGGCCGUGUCGGGUGAGUGGGGCGCUCUCGCUGGCAGCCCGGCGCCGGGGCACGCCUGGUCGUGCCGGAUCCCGCGGGGCGCGCGCUGCUGCUUUAGGCACCUGGGCCCGGGUGCGGGUGUGGGAGACCUGCCGGUCGGCGGGAAGCCUCGGUGGCAGGCUUUAUGGUUGCCGGACCUGGGACGCGCGCCCAGGCGCCCCACCUCCCCGGAGACCGAGGCAGGGUGGGUGCGGCCCGGAUCUAGCGGUAUGGUCGCGGAAGCCUUGGGCACAGAGAGUCGCACAAGUGCCCUGCUAAUGGUCGCGACCCGGGUUACGAGCGCGCAGAAAGUUUGGAGGUUUGGCAAGGAGGGUGGUGCCGGCUUCCGCCCGCUGGUGGCAGAACUGCCUGUGUGAGCGCGGCCUCCACGUGGGCUGCGCCGCCAGGCGUCAGGUCGGGCCUAAGAGACACGCUCUACAGCUGGGAAACCUGAAGUUCAGGUUUGCCUUUCUUUAUUGCUUUGUCUUGAAGACAGAACGAUGCCAAAGAAAGCAAAGCCUGCAGGGAGUGGGAAGGAAGAGGGGCCGGUUCCCUGUAAGCAGAUGAAGGUAGAAGCAGCUGGGGGGCCUUCAGCUUUAAACUUUGACAGUCCCAGUAGUCUCUUUGAAAGUUUAAUCUCGCCCAUCAAGACAGAGACUUUUUUCAAGGAAUUCUGGGAGCAGAAGCCCCUUCUCAUUCGGAGAGAUGACCCCGCACUGGCCACAUACUAUGGGUCCCUGUUCAAGCUGACAGAUCUGAAGAGUCUGUGCAGCCGGGGAAUGUACUAUGGAAGAGACGUGAAUGUGUGCCGGUGUGUCAAUGGGAAGAAGAAGGUUUUAAAUAAAGAUGGCAAAGCACACUUUCUUCAGCUGAGAAAAGAUUUGGAUCAGAAAAGGGCAACGAUUCAGUUUCACCAACCUCAGAGAUUUAAGGAUGAGCUUUGGAGGAUCCAGGAGAAGCUGGAAUGUUACUUUGGCUCCUUGGUUGGCUCGAAUGUGUACAUAACUCCCGCAGGAUCUCAGGGCCUACCGCCCCAUUAUGAUGAUGUCGAGGUUUUCAUCCUGCAGCUGGAGGGAGAGAAACACUGGCGCCUCUACCACCCCACUGUGCCCCUGGCACGAGAAUACAGCGUGGAGGCCGAGGAAAGGAUCGGCAGGCCGGUGCAUGAGUUCAUGCUGAAGCCGGGUGAUUUGUUGUACUUUCCCAGAGGAACCAUUCAUCAAGCGGAUACUCCUGCGGGGCUGGCCCACUCGACUCACGUGACCAUCAGCACCUACCAGAACAAUUCAUGGGGAGAUUUCCUUUUGGAUACCAUCUCGGGGCUUGUAUUUGAUACUGCAAAGGAAGACGUGGAAUUACGGGCCGGCAUACCCCGGCAGCUGCUCCUGCAGGUGGAAUCCACAACUGUUGCAACAAGACGAUUAAGUGGCUUCCUGAGGACGCUUGCGGACCGGCUGGAGGGCACCAAAGAACUGCUUUCCUCAGACAUGAAGAAGGAUUUUAUUAUGCACAGACUCCCCCCUUACUCUGCGGGAGAUGGGGCAGAGCUGUCAACACCAGGUGGAGCUUGCUGUUUUCUUCUGGGUGGUCAGAGGCUAAUGCAGGAUGUUUGCGGUUUUUCUGGGUGGAAAGUUACCGAGGUUGGACAGUGUAGUGAGACUGCAGUUUAAAGACCACAUUGUCCUCACAGUACUGCCAGAUCAGGAUCAAUCUGAUGAAGCUCAAGAAAAGAUGGUAUACAUCUAUCAUUCCUUAAAGAAUAGGAGAGAGACACACAUGAUGGGGAAUGAGGAGGAAACAGAGUCUCAUGGACUUCGCUUUCCUUUGUCACAUUUGGAUGCACUGAAGCAAAUUUGGAACAGUUCCACUAUUUCUGUCAAGGACCUGAAACUUACUACAGAUGAGGAAAGGGAAAGCCUGGUAUUAUCCCUCUGGACAGAAUGUUUGAUUCAAGUAGUCUAGUGCCUUUGCCGAAUCAAAUGCUACUAUUUUAUAUGCACAUAUUAAAAGAAAAGCAAAGACCUGAGCCGAGGAGAGGAUGAAUUCAAGUUUCCUUACCUGCGUAUCUAUUAACAUGAGACCUCCCUAUUAUAGGUGGUCAUUUGGCCAAGUGUACUAACAGGGGCACAUGAAAGAACAGCAAAUUAUCAAGUGUCUCAGAAAAUGAAAAAACCAUAUUUUGACAAGUUUAUUUAAUCCAGUGUGGUAGAAAAGGCACAAUUCCAAUGUAUCAUUUAGAAUUGAAUGUCAUUAACCUGGCUUUGUUCUUUGGAAGAAACAACUUCUUUAAAGAGCUGCUUUGGCUCUAGAAAAAUUUCCAACAAUUAAAAUAAAAAAUUUUAAAUUGUUUUUUUACAAUGAAAAUAUACAUACCUUUGUGUAUAGACAAGCCCAUGCCCACUAAAAGUUAUCCUGUAACAUAAAUUUUAUUAAAUAAUACUCCCCCACAAUGAGAGGCACACAACACCUGUGGACAAAAGGGAGUUACAGAGGCUGCUUAAAAGAUGGAGAAAAGCCUGAAAUUGAGGGAGGAAAAAACCCAGUAUUUACAUGGAAAAACUAAGUCUAUAAAAAAUACUCAAAAUAGUGGGUCUUCGAGUUUAAAAUACUCACUGUUAUUUUACAUUCUAAAGUGCAUAUAGGUUGAUAUUUUUUAAAAUAUCACCAGAGAAUUUAAUCUUUAUAAAAAUAGAGCAUUUUUCUGCUUUCUGGCAAAAGUUGGGGAUAAAAGGAAAAGUUGUCUUAAUGUAAGUCUCAAUCCCAUUCAGCAGGAAAAAAAGGUGGUAAUGACUACUGGAAGCCAAGUCAAAGGUGAUUUCCUGCCUGAGUUUACUUAAAUAAAAGUUACUUACCAUGGGAGUGAAGAAGUGAGGCUUCUAUUAUUUAGUAGAGAAAUCAACUCCACAUUUAUUUAAAAAGAUGGUAAGGUCAAGGUUCAAAUGCUACUUUGUUUUAAUUUGGACAUUUGAAAUUUCUCUUCACUUGAGGCAAAAAAAAAAAAAAAAUUGCCUCUCCUUAAAUCUAGGAUGAAGUGUCAGCGUGGAGACAGGUAACCACUGUUGUAGAGUCUUGUCACCUAAAGGGAUGUCUUGGUUAACAUGUAAGAGUGCAAGUUUGGUCAUAGGUUAUUUGUACUGUUCUAGUUUGAAGGACUGAGGAAACAAUAGCUACAGAAAAUACUUUACUACUUGUGCCUUAUUCCUAACAAAGCUGAUGUCCCUGCCUGGGGUUAGUUACAAGUAAAAAUAAAUACUUAUGAGGUGUGUUAUAAAAGUCUCAGUAUAGAAACCUUAAAGUUUAUCUAGGAAAGUUUAAUAUAUAUUUUCAGAUGUUGCUAAAAAAUUACUCAUCUGUUUGCAAAAGUAUGACUUGACCUAUAGGAAUCUGUUCCCUUAUGCUUUGUACUCAUACAAGCAUCUAGGUAGGAUAUUAAUAAAUACUACAGGAUAACAGCAUCACCAGUGUCCAAUAACAGGCCAUCAGGAAUAGGAUUCACGUUUGGUGGAUAGGAGAGAAAAUAAACACUUCAGGAAACUUGCUCACCACAGCUGGAGAUCAGGAAUAGAACCUUUGCCAGACAUCAUAAUAUUUUCUUUAUAGGAACACUGAGUAAUGGCAAGAAUAUUUUGAGCUUUUCCAUGGUUAAGAGCGAUAGUCUCAGAGGUUGGAGAGAAUGUUCAUUCUGCUCAGUGAUCCAGGAGUGUGAGGAUAGUAGCUUCCUUUCCAUGUCUACGAGACAAUGACAGAUGUGAGUUUCCUCCUCCUUCACUCUUUCUAGGGAUGUUGAUUCUCUCAUAAUAUUUCAAUGUCCCAUUUCUGUGUUUCUUCUCCCUCCAGGGGCUGAUUUACAAUUACAUGAGUCUUGUCACAAUAAUUUCCUCCUAAAAUAGAAAUUCCAAAAGAAAAGAUUAUUUGUUCAGGCAGGUGCUUAGCAAUUUCACAAUUUUCACAAGCUUCUGUUCAGCUCACCAUUUCAGUGGAUUAAUGUGUCAUUUACAAAGAAGUCUGAAAUGAGAAGCUGAGUCUGAACAGGCUUAGCCAUUAUUCACCUCAAAUUGGACCUUAUUAAUUAUGACUCAAAUUGAAAUACUAAAAGGUAUAAUACAUGAUUGUGUAAGCGGCAUGCCUUAACAAUGCGAUUCUUUACAACAGAGUGCUCUGAGAGAACUCUAGCUGAAUGUCAGGUACUGUGUUUUUGUUUCUACACCAACAAAACUGACUAACCCAAUUAAAGCAACAGCCAUGAAUAAUACUGGCCCUGACCUUGCUGAAUUCAAAAACAAGGUUAAUUGAGACCUACCAUAAAUUAGAGCUGAGUGUUUGAAGGACCAUGGCAAUUCCUGGCGAAAAGCUGGAGAUGUUUCUAAGAAACAGAUGAUAUUCAUGGGUUUAUGGUGCUUCGAAUUUAGAACUGUUCUGAGUUCAUGUAGCAAAUGCAAGUUUUACAACUGUACUAAUGAACAAAAACCCUAAGCUUUGUUGUUUGGCUUUUUCUGCUAAUUGUUUUGUUUGUAUAACUGCCUGUCUUAACUUUUUUUCAAGCAUAAUUUUAAAUGAUGUAACAUUUCUCUUAUACAUAAGGAUUUCCUUUACCCAAAAUGAGGAGAUGUGGAACUGAAACUAAUAUCCAGGGACCCAACAUUGGGUAUCAUUUUAUAAAGGCCCACCUUUAACAUCGAGGACAAGUUGAUCACUGAGAUAAGAGCUGAUAGUUCCAUUUUGAUUCAGUCUCCACUUCUGCCUGAAUUGCCCAUGUUCAGUCCAUAGAGCUACUUUAGCUCCAGGUGUGUCCCGGCCACCAAUCACAUCAAGACAUGUAUCACUGGCCUAAAAGGGUUAAGAAAUGAUUAAUUGGCAAUACUGUGUUUGCUAAAGUAAGUUGAAUUAGGUCCCUUUUCUCUUAGGUAAACAAAUCAUAGACCUGAAGUAUGUAUGUCUUGUCUAAAAAAAAUACUAUAUAGUAUAAUUUCAGUAAGCCUUUUUUAAUGUCUUCUUUAUGGCUGUGGGUAGGAAAUGGUACAGAAAUAAACCAACUGAAAUAGAGGUACUUGUUUUUAAUAGGAUGUCUACGUCUGACACAGAUGUUCAAUAAAGAUUUGCUGAAUUGGAAUUAAAUGUUAAACCCUUGUUUGCUUAAAAUGUAUUAUGCUGAACUUGGUUUUCUUACGAAAACAUUGCAUGAUGGGCUAAAGAUAUCCAGAAAAUAAUUACUUUUAAAUGUUUUUCAUUUUUGAAGCAUGAAAAAAAGAAGAUAAUCCAUUGGUGAUACAAUAAAACACAGUUUGAAUGUU